AAAUUGAAGAGUUUGAUCAUGGCUCAGAUUGAACGCUGGCGGCAGGCCUAACACAUGCAAGUCGAACGGUAACAGGAAGCAGCUUGCUGCUUUGCUGACGAGUGGCGGACGGGUGAGUAAUGUCUGGGAAACUGCCUGGUGGAGGGGGAUAACUACUGGAAACGGUAGCUAAUACCGCAUAACGUCGCAAGACCAAAGAGGGGGACCUUCGGGCCUC
rnacentral:rRNA from 1 species